rnacentral:rRNA from 1 species
CACGUAGGCACCAAGCGUUGUCCGGAUUUAUUGGGCGUAAAGAGCUCGUAGGCGGCUCGGUAAGUCGGGUGUGAAAACUUUGGGCUCAACCCAAAGCCUGCACCCGAUACUGCUGUGACUUGAGUCCGGUAGGGGAGUGGGGAAUUCCUGGUGUAGCGGUGGAAUGCGCAGAUAUCAGGAGGAACACCGGUGGCGAAGGCGCCACUCUGGGCCGGUACUGACGCUGAGGAGCGAAAGCGUGGGGAGCGAACAGG